rnacentral:tRNA from 1 species
AUCGGUAUGGCUCAGGUGGUUAGAAUAAACUUUAGCGUCAGCCUAACAUGCUGAAAGUCAUGAGUUCGAAAAUCUAUAUCUCAUUACCGAUA